rnacentral:tRNA from 1 species
GUUUUAAUAGUUUAACAUAAAACAUCGGUCUUGUAAACCGAAAUUAAGUAGCCCCCCACUUUUAAAACU